rnacentral:rRNA from 1 species
AUUGAACGCUGGCGGCAUGCCUUACACAUGCAAGUCGAACGGUAACGCGGGGCAACCUGGCGACGAGUGGCGAACGGGUGAGUAAUGCAUCGGAACGUGCCUGGUAGUGGGGGAUAACUGCUCGAAAGAGCAGCUAAUACCGCAUACGACCUGAGGGUGAAAGGGGGGGAUCGCAAGACCUCUCGCUAUCAGAGCGGCCGAUGUCGGAUUAGCUAGUUGGUGGGGUAAAGGCCCACCAAGGCAACGAUCCGUAGCUGGUCUGAGAGGACGACCAGCCACACUGGGACUGAGACACGGCCCAGACUCCUACGGGAGGCAGCAGUGGGGAAUUUUGGACAAUGGACGCAAGUCUGAUCCAGCCAUGCCGCGUGCGGGAAGAAGGCCUUCGGGUUGUAAACCGCUUUUGUCAGGGAAGAAAUCUUCUGGGCUAAUACCCUGGGAGGAUGACGGUACCUGAAGAAUAAGCACCGGCUAACUACGUGCCAGCAGCCGCGGUAACAC